rnacentral:rRNA from 1 species
UGACUGACUGAGUGCCAGCAGCCGCGGUGAAUACGUUCCCGGGCCUUGUACACACCGCCCGUCACACCAUGAGAGCCGGGGGGACCCGAAGUCCGUAGUCUAACCGUAAGGAGGGCGCGGCCGAAGGUAAAACUGGUGAUUGGGGUGAAGUCGUAACAAGGUAACCUCAGUCAGUCA